rnacentral:tRNA from 1 species
GAUGUUAUAGCUCAGCGGUAGAGUGCUCACCUAACACGUGUGAGGCCCUGGGUUCGAUCCUCGGCACCACA